GUACUUACCUAGCAGGGCAGAUAUCAUCACAUGGGCGGUUUUCCCAGGAUGAGGCUUAUCCAUUUCACUCAGGAUGUGCUGACCCAUGUGAUUUCCCCAAAUGAUUUCCCCUUGAUUGCAUACUUUCUGGUAGUAGGGGACUGCGUUCAUGUUCUCCCCUG